CUGAAUAGGCGGGCCUCG
rnacentral:tRNA from 1 species